GGUGGGUUCAGCGACUGGGGUGAAGUCGCAACAAGGUAGCCGUAGGUGAACCUGCAGAAGGAUCA
rnacentral:rRNA from 1 species